UCUGCUCUGUGUCAGCGCCCUGCAUACAGCUGCUGUUUCUGUUUACAGGAAGGGACGGCCUUCUGACACGCAGUACAAGUGAGCCUGAACCGUUUUCCUCAGGAAAAACUUCUGUGUCUACAGGACAUGGUCACAUGCCCUUUGACCUUCUCCUGUGUCACGCAUUAUGUCUGUAAUCCUACCGUCUGUGUUCAUUAAUGAUACUCCCCAAGGUCUCACUCAUGAACCAGGCUGUAAAUCUGUAAUUAGGGGAGAACACAGAGCUUCCCACUGGAGUUUCACUUUCACGUUUAACCUUCACUCACAAGCCUGAUAGCCCUGUGCUUUGUUUUACCGUCUACUAUCUUCCAAGUCAAUUUUUUUUUCUAGAAGGAAAUAGUAUUUAAUUCCAUAUGAAACAAAGAGCCCUUUCUUUGUUAGCAAAUCUCAAGUCCUGGCCUAGAGAAAACCGUCUCCAUUAUUUAUUGGAGUGUUUGAUACUUUAGUGGUGUUUUUAGAGACACAGGUCUUCUUUGUUUGAAACCCUGGGAAUGUUUAGCUCUGAAUUAAAUUCCUCUGACUCAGUCACCGUUGCACAGAAGUUUGAGGCUUUGCGGCUCCCUGCUACUGUAUGCGGCGCGCAGGAGACAUACGCCACUGAUCUGUCAUUUCCUGGAUCUUCACCAGGUCUCUCAUCAACAAUUCCUACCCAGCUAGGGCUAUAAAUCUGUGUAAAAUGUGCUUUGCACGUCACACCACCAAUGAACACAUGCCAUUGUCCAUAGCAGCCGAGUUCUGCUGGAUCGAAUGCCUUUGGAAAACUGACACAGUAUUAGGGAAUAUGUUCUUUGAGUCUCCGCUUUGAAUUAACAAAACUGACAUUAUUUUGGUUCCUCAUUAGAAACUUGAGAAAAGCCCCCGGACAGGGGCUACACGGGCGUCAGCGUGUGUCAGCCUCAUUCCCUUGCAGGGAACUUUGCCCUGCUCUGGCUGUCACACUGUCACACUCAGAGCUCUCACUGGAUGAGACCGAGGACUGGAGAGUCGUCACCGUUACCUCAGAACCGGCACAGGACCUGGAGGAGCAAGAUCAUCAUUCUGCAAAUAUUGGCUUGGGUUUCGUGUGACUCAGGUUUACAGCUGAACAAGUAUAUUUUAAGGGUGGAUCUAACCAAGCUCUGCUCACUGCUGUGGGAGCCCAUGCUGAGAAGAAAGCUCGGGACCAUGCUGCUUGAAU